rnacentral:rRNA from 1 species
UACGUAGGGUGCAAGCGUUGCCCGGAUUUAUUGGGCGUAAAGGGCGCGUAGGCGGCUCGGCACGUCCGUUGUGAAAUCGCCCGGCUCAACUGGGCGGGGUCAGCGGAUACGGCCGAGCUUGAGCAAGCUAGGGGGCAAUGGAAUUCCCGGUGUAGUGGUGAAAUGCGUAGAUAUCGGGAGGAAUACCAGUGGCGAAGGCGGCUUCCUGGACCAAUUCUGACGCUGAGGAGCGAAAGCCAGGGGAGCAAACGGG